rnacentral:lncRNA from 1 species
CUCGCAUAUCAGAAAUAUACAAAACAAGUGUUGUACAUUACAGAUGAGGUUAUCCGGAAUUCAGGAUCUGGCACUCAGCAGUGGUCAAUAAAAUUAAUAAAAUUCAUAACCCUGAAGGUUCACUUUGUUGUUCAUCCCAAUCUGUCCUCAGGAAAAUACUCUCCACAUCUCUUGUCCAAAGUCCUUACAAAAAAAAGAAAAAAAAAAAAAAAAAAGACAAGACACUUGCAUCCACAUUCCAUGAAGAUGUAAGAGUUGUACUCCUGCUGAUACCAGAGGGAGACAAUGCUUCAGAGAGCAUGGGACAUUUAAGCAGUGGAAGCACUUGUCCUUUCAGCCCUGUCUGGAAACUGGAAGACGAGUGAAGGAGACGGACACCAUUCUGGAAAAUAGUAUAUAGAGCCGGAUCUAUGAAAAACGAGUUCUUUUGUCAAUACUUCGUCUUCAAAAAGUUAUUGAUCUUCUUUUAAAAAAAAUUUGAUUAUACUCUCUGAGAAUCAUUGUUUGCCCUUGAGAGAUGCUGUUAUGUUCAAAAAUUAACCUAGAGAUUCUAAAAGUUAGCAAAAGCAAAGGAGGACCAUAUUCUAGACUAAAGCAGCCAUUCAGAAAUAUGCAACUGAGAAUUACUGUGUGCUGUGGAUCACCCAGGUUUGGAGGUAACUCAAUUCUUUUGGUAUCAAUUCCUUGAAAGGAAUUAAAAGUAAAAACUCCAGAAGGAAAACAAGGUCAGGGACAGGGAGUGGCUAAUAAGAGAACUACUGAGUCAGGUUUCUGGCUUAUCAGUGAGUCAGGUUUAAUAAAAGGAUUAUUUUUAAGGUGGUGAGUAGGGACUAAGGAGAAAACAACAACAACACUAAGCACAUUUAUCUAAGAUUAACAAAAGCAAGCAGGCAUUACCACCAUAGGUUCAAGGGGCAAGUGGUAGGAAUGAUUAGGGUACUCUGAGAUUGUCACUCAGUGGAGAGAGCCAGCAAAUAGCAUCAGUGUACUUUGCGAGAGGGUUGACCUGCAUUGGGAUCCAGUGAAAUAAAUAUCCCCACCUCACUUUCCUUCCACUUUUCCAACAUAUCUCAUUGUCUCCCAUUGGCUGAACUGAACCAGAAGUCAAAGGGCAAAGGAUCUUGUAGAGACAGAGUCCUCACAACUCAGCCUCCCAGAGCAAAAAGCAGAGUAGGAUGUAGAAAGGUAGAGAAUGAACCUGGAAGGGCAGAAAAUGUGUAACAAAGCAACUACGUGUGUGUGUGUGUGUUUGUGUGUAUGUGUGUGAGUGUGAGAGAGAGAGAAAGAGAAAGAUGAAGCAGUAGGUUUCCUUUUAUCUUUGAGUCUUUAACACAAAGUUUUCAACAUUGUCAUUUCCUGUAGCUUCUCCUAAUUGUUCAAUACAGCAUUUUUCUUUUCUUCUACUAUUGGCCAAAAUGAAAGGGGGCUUCAGUAUAAAAAGGAUAAUUUUAUCUAAAUGAUGAGUCUGCCGAGGCACACAUAGCAGGGACCACCAUGAAUCAAGGAAGGCUAUGAAACCUGGAAUUCCAGAUGGUAACCCACCACAGGGCAAAAAUAAGUGAAGAUGGAGAUAUAUUAACAGCAAGGAGAAACAGUGCAGAUUUGAAAGCAGUUUAGCAUAGGUGAGGGUGAGGGUGGAUAUGAGUCAACCCUCCUUCCCUUUUAAUUUUGUUCAAAAUAUAAAGAAAAGGUGGCCGGGUGUGGUGGCUCACACCUGUAAUCCCAGCAUUUUGGGAGGCCGAGGUAGGCAGAUCACAAGGUCAGGAGAUCAAGAUCAUCCUGGCCAACAUGGUAAAACCCCAUCUCUACUAAAAAUACAAAAAUUAGCCGAGUGUGGUGGUGUGUGCCUGUAAUCCCAGCUAUUUGGGAGGCUGAGGCAGGAGAAUCACUUGAACCAGGGAGUCGGAGGUUGCAGUGAGCCAAGAUCACACCACUGCACUCCAGCUUGGCGACAGAGCGAGACUCCGUCUGAAAAAAAAAAAAAAAAGUGACACAAGACACAAUUUAUGAAUAUUUUAUUAUAAAACAUUAUUUUGAAAACAUCUGUAAUCAUCAACUAGUAAAAUAGUCCCGUGUUCUUAUUUGUAUAGGUGAUUGAAAAGAGAUUCUGAAAUUAUUUUGACCUUUAAUUGCUUAGAGCAAUUCACCAAGAACAUUUUGCAACUUUCAACCUUUCUACAGAAACACUCCCUUGAAUGAGAGAGAAUAUUUUGCAAAUUGACUACCAGGAUGAUUUCCCACUAUCAUUCAGAAUGGAUUUGCGCCAACUCAUUCAGCCAUUAGCUUUGUGAUACAAAUUGAUUUUAAUAAUGCAUUUCAAAUACAAAUAGAAAUGAUUAUUAUGUGGGCAUAUAUUUUGAACUAUCUGUUCUUCAUUGUUAAGGCAGAUAAGUGAAAAUUUGUCCCAUUUCUAAUUUCUACUAUUUAGUAAUUAGAUCCCUUUGACUUUUUGGUGCCAGUUAGAAAGUAAUUAAUAGAAAAGGCUAACUCUUUUUCUUAGAAGCAAAGAAUAGUAAAUACAUUCUAAGAAAACUAUAUCGUGUGUAGAAAGUUGUGAGUUUGUCAGGAAGAGGUAAUUUAAUUCCUACAUAAUGAAAAGUAAUAUAAAAAUAAGCAGAAGCAUCUUUUAGAAAAAUAUUUGAAUUUCUGUGAAUAUUAAAGGGAUAUACACAUAUUUCUAAAAGAGUUUUGUUUUUUUCAUCUUUCUGUGUAUUCGCACUAAAUCUAUUGUAGUCCUGGUAGUCUGAAUAAUUGCGUCCCAAUUUAUUGUUUUUUACUACUAAAAGUCAAUGUUAGCUAUAUAAUUUCUAUAUAUCACAUAUAUUUUUUAAAAAUUUGUAACUUUUAUGCUUUUAAUCAUUGGUUUUUAUGUAUUACUUGGUUAAUAUAUAUUAUAAACAAAGUAUUAUACAUUACUUGGUUUAUAGAAAUUUGAGUGGGAGCUCUAAGAAAAUAUGACAAUUCUGGACACUAGAUAUCCCAGAUUUAUAUUCUAGCCUUCUAAAGUAUGAGAUUAUGACUCAAAUUUCAUGGAAUCUUCACUAACAUGGUAUAUGGACAAUGUUAAUGUAAUCACACUAUAAUUUUAAGGAUAAGCCUAACACUUUAAUAUGACCAUUAGUGUAGCCCAAACAGAAAAUGUUUAGUAAAUUUUUUUUGGUAAUUGUUCACCAUAUAUCAUCAAUGCUCAAAAUUUUAUUUGAAUUCAUUUAUAUUAAAAAUAAAGAGAAAUUGGUACAUAUUA